rnacentral:rRNA from 1 species
AGAGUUUGAUCCUGGCUCAGGAUGAACGCUAGCGGCAGGCUUAACACAUGCAAGUCGAGGGGUAUGCUUCUUCGGGAGCAGAGACCGGCGCACGGGUGCGUAACGCGUAUGCAAUCUACCUUUUACAGAGGGAUAGCCCAGAGAAAUUUGGAUUAAUACCUCAUAGUAUAUAGACUCGGCAUCGAGAUUAUAUUAAAGUCACAACGGUAAAAGAUGAGCAUGCGUCCCAUUAGCUAGUUGGUAAGGUAACGGCUUACCAAGGCUACGAUGGGUAGGGGUCCUGAGAGGGAGAUCCCCCACACUGGUACUGAGACACGGACCAGACUCCUACGGGAGGCAGCAGUGAGGAAUAUUGGACAAUGGGCGCAAGCCUGAUCCAGCCAUGCCGCGUGCAGGAUGACGGUCCUAUGGAUUGUAAACUGCUUUUGUACAGGAAGAAACACUGGUUCGUGAACCAGCUUGACGGUACUGAAGAAUAGAUCGC